rnacentral:lncRNA from 1 species
ACACCCAGCCCUGGGCAGGCUCCGGCGGAGAGCGCCAAGAAUCAGCCUGUCCCCGGGGCUGCGCGGGUUGCACUCUCUGCUCACGGCCCCCGUCCCUCCAGCCAGCUCUCUUCCGGCUUCGUGUCCUGGGCCGGCCUGAAAGACGGGAGCAUGGGACACACACGCUCACCGGAACUCACGGCACGCGUCCCUGCGCAGCCCCGCUGCUCUCUACUCCCUCUGGCCAAGCUCGCCCUGGACCUCGGAGCCGCCCAACCUCAGUCCAACUCCUCCUCCCUGCUCUCCCGGUGUAGGCGCUGCUUCUGCUUUCACCAUCUUCCCUCCCAAGGCGCGCAGCCCUGGAGCCGCAGGGCUGGGCGGAGAGAGGGCGCUGUGACCAGGUCCUGGCCCCCGAGGAACUCCUUCCCUCUGGCUCCCCCUGGCCCUGAUCUCUCCCCGGUCUGACUUGUUCCAGAAGUGGACCUCCUUAUCUGUUUUUCUUUCUUUGUUGGCUAAUGUUUUCAUCCCCCAAGCAGGGUUGGGCAAUCAAGUUCCAUGCAUAAUGAGCAGUUUAAAACCACGAAGGAGAAAGGGUGACAGACACAAGGAUUGUGGCAGACAGGCCCCGUUGUUGAUUGAAUAUGUGAAUGCAGACCCAUGGAUACAUAGAGCCUACUCUGGAUGUGUAUAUGUAGACCAUGUAUAUUGCUGCUCCCUGGGGUGGGGUCCUGGAGUGAGGAUGAAACAGAAGACGGAGCCCCAGCUGACCUGCCUGCGGGGAAAGCACAAGAAUAUAAAUAAACAUGUCAUCUUUCCUGACAGAUGUCUCAUGCAGUGUUCAACCACAGUCCUGUUCUUCAGAGAUAUCCCCAGCUAAAUAAAACUCCCAGCUUCUUUCCUUUUA